UACGAAGGGGGCUAGCGUUGUUCGGAAUUACUGGGCGUAAAGGGCGCGUAGGCGGCGUGUCAAGUCAGGCGUGAAAGCCCCGGGCUCAACCUGGGAACCGCGCUUGAGACUGGCAUGCUCGAGUUCGGGAGAGGAUGGUGGAAUUCCCAGUGUAGAGGUGAAAUGCGUAGAGAUCGGCAGGAAGACCAAGGGGGAAGCCAGGCACCUGGGCCCGUACUGACACUCAUGGACGACCGCGUGGGGAGCGAACCGG
rnacentral:rRNA from 1 species